rnacentral:ncRNA from 2 species
CUCUUAUCUAGAGAGGUGGAGGGACUGGCCCGAUGAAACCCGGCAACCUGUGUAAAUACAAGGUGCCAAUUCCUACGGUAAUACUUGCCGAGAGAUGAGAG